GACGAACGCUGGCGGCGUGCCUAAUACAUGCAAGUAGAACGCUGAAGAGAGGAGCUUGCUCUUCUUGGAUGAGUUGCGAACGGGUGAGUAACGCGUAGGUAACCCGCCUUGUAGCGGGGGAUAACUAUUGGAAACGAUAGCUAAUACCGCAUAACAAUGGAUGACACAUGUCAUUUAUUUGAAAGGGGCAAUUGCUCCACUACAAGAUGGACCUGCGUUGUAUUAGCUAGCAGGUGAGGUAAUGGCUCACCUAGGCGACGAUACAUAGCCGACCUGAGAGGGUGAUCGGCCACACUGGGACUGAGACACGGCCCAGACUCCUACGGGAGGCAGCAGUAGGGAAUCUUCGGCAAUGGGGGCAACCCUGACCGAGCAACGCCGCGUGAGUGAAGAAGGUUGUCGGAUCGUAAAGCUCGGUUGUAAGUCAAGAACGGGUGUGAGAGUGGAAAGUUCACACUGUGACGGUAGCUUAACAGAAAGGGACGGCUAACUACGUG
rnacentral:rRNA from 1 species